AUCAACUGUCCCUCUCAUCCUCAGCCCCCGUGUUUCACCUAGAAAGCUGUCCCCUGGGUGCAUCUGGAUUCAUCUCCUAUCCCAUUAUCAAGAUGCGAGAAGUGGUCUGGCAAGUUGGAAAGAGCCCUGAAGUCGCCUCAAGGUGGAGGACCUGGCCCAAGACCUCCUUCUAAACUGAGUAAUCCUGGGUCCCAUCUUCUCAGGAACUCAAUUCCCUCUUUGGAAUUAGAGCAGAACAAGGGGGUAGAUGAAAUGAUUCCUAAGGUCCCCCCAGCUCUUCGCAGGCUGCCCUCUAGUAACAUCAACCUUCAUUCCAUCUCUUCACUUCCUGUUGAGUGAUUGCCAGGCAGAGAUGGACUCAUCAAAUAAAAAGACCCUGGAAAUCA